rnacentral:rRNA from 1 species
AUUGAACGCUGGCGGCAUGCCUUACACAUGCAAGUCGAACGGCAGCACGGGUGCUUGCACCUGGUGGCGAGUGGCGAACGGGUGAGUAAUAUAUCGGAACGUACCUUAUUGUGGGGGAUAACGCAGCGAAAGCUGUGCUAAUACCGCAUAAUCCCUAAGGGGGAAAGCGGUGGACCGUAAGGCCUCGCGCAAUUAGAGCGGCCGAUACCUGAUUAGCUAGUUGGUGAGGUAAAGGCUCACCAAGGCAACGAUCAGUAGCUGGUCUGAGAGGACGAUCAGCCACACUGGGACUGAGACACGGCCCAGACUCCUACGGGAGGCAGCAGUGGGGAAUUUUGGACAAUGGGGGCAACCCUGAUCCAGCAAUGCCGCGUGAGUGAGGAAGGCCUUCGGGUUGUAAAGCUCUUUUGUCAGGGAAGAAACAGCAGCUCUAACACAGUUUGCGAAUGACGGUACCUGAAGAAUAAGCACCGGCUAACUACGUGCCAGCCGCCGCUGUAA